CAUCCGCAAGCCUGUGACGGUCCAUUCCCUGGCUCGCUGCCGGAAAAACACCUUGGCCCGCCGGAAGGACAGGCACAUGGACAUAGGUAAGCAUAAGGGUACAGCCAACGCCCAAAUGCCAGAGAAGGUCACGUGGAUGAGGAGAAUGAGGAUUCUGCGCCGGCUGCUCAGAAGAUAGCGGGAAUCUAAGAACAUUGAUUGCCACAUGUAUCACAACGUGUACCUGAAGGCGAAGGGGAAUGUGUUCAAAAACAAGUGGAUUCUCAUGGAACACAUCCACAAGCUGAAGGCAGACAAGGCCGGCAAGAAGCUCCUGGUUGACCAGGCAGAGGCCCGUAGGUCUAAAACCAAGGAAGCACACAAGCGCCGUGAAGAGCGCCUUCAGGCCAAAAAGGAGGAAAUCAUCAAGACUUUGUCCAAGGAGGAAGAGACCAAGAAAUAAAAGCUCCCGCUUUGUUUGUA